UUUGACAUUUUGAUGCAGAAAUUUUGAUUUUUCAUUUGAGUUUCAUUGUUGUGAUUUAGCUUGUAAUAUUUGUACUGGCCCUAUUUUUAUUAUUAUUAUUAUAUUUUAUUAUAUAUUAGAAUAUUUUAUUUUCAGUUUUUAAACUUAAGACAUAUAAGAGAAUGUGAAAGUAAAAUUACAAACUCCCUUCCCUUACCCACCCAUAUACAAACUAAAAAGAAAACACAACCAAAAAAAAGAGCCUGAAGUUGAAGUUGAACCCGAGUCCAUGCUUGAAGACUAUAUCCUCUCUAUGUGGGGUGCUCAGCUUUACCACUAGUCAAAACCAGCACCCAAGCUGAUGGUUUUCCUCAUCACUUCUCAGAGUUUCAGUGUCUGUAAUAUUUCUGGUUUCAACCCCUAUGACAGCAUUUUGGUGUGCCGCAGUAAUAUUACAGGAUUGGCUUUAUUGUUUGGCUGACCUGGAAAGUCCCUGACUAUCAGUGAGUUUCAUUUUCUGGCAGUGAAGCUUUUUGGACGAUUGCCUGUUGACGUGUGUCAUAAACACCAAAGGUGGGGUAGAAGUGGUUUGUGGUGUUGUGCUAAAAAGCACCAACUCCCUCUAUCGACAACAGCUACGGCAACCAUCCGUCACCAUUUUGUCAAAACUUAACACGCUGCAUUCACAAAAUGGUGGCUGAAGCCACGUGGUGCGGAAAAGUUUGCAGUUUAAGAAUCAAGAGUGAGAUUUUUCUCUUAUGUUUGUGUUUUGUUUCAUUUUUAAACUCACACGAUGUCAACCUAACCAGAGUGACUAAAACAGAAAUGCACAUCCAUCCAGAGCAAACUGCAAGAGCAGCUCAGCAGCAAAGUCUCUAUUUGGAGUUAGGAUACAGCAGCACAAAGUCUUUAGAUGUCAGGACUUUAUACAUUUAAAAUGAAUUCAAGACGCUUUUCAUGCAAAGACUAAAAGGCAAGAGUACACGGCAUGAUGGGAGUGGAGUUUAAAUUAAAGAAGGAAACGAAUGUGAAGAUCAGAUUGGCUCUCAAAGGUCAACUACAGGCAGACAAGGAAGGUGUGAACUACAUAAUAAAACAUGUUUAUGGUGGAGAAAUGGAAAGCACCGCAAACAUCUUGGAAUUUACACAACAGAAGAUGCCAACGUGAUGCCAAAUUUGGCGCAAUAAUCAAACCUUUACAGAGCCGACUGCAGUCCUUAAAAACACAAACUAAAAAAGUCUUUUAAUGAAACUUUACACGGACUAAAACAUUAGGAUCUUAUUCAUGGAUCCUAUUUCGGUCAAUCAAAGAUUUUGUGCGUAAUGGUGCGACAGGAUACAAAAAAAUAUUUCUUAUCGUUUUUCAAACUCAGACUGCUCAGAGUUUCGGGGUUAAUCAGACACAGUGACUCAUCAGAUCAGCGCACUCGCCCGCCCCCUUCAGUUAUCGCUCGCCACCUUCAGAUCACAAGGUGGGAUGGGCCUAAAUGGAAAAACAAUUGCCAAAAGUGUCCGCCAUCUUACGAGGUGUCCUUCAAAAACAGACACAAAAUGGCGGACAGAGUCUUCUUACAGCGUGUUAUUGGAACUCGAAUGAUGAGAGACUCUGUGGGGUUUGGGUUUUCCGUAUGCUUCCUAAACUUCAAUCUGCACCUAAAAGCACUCUAAGUGCGUUUUUACGGCCAGACGAAUGUGCCGAGAAGCGUUUGCCUAACCAGUUCUGCACCAUGCCACAACAGCACCACGCCACCAAACUGGAAAGUCCCCGCAUAUUCUUCUUUCACUUUCUGUCUUUAUUGUUUUUUUUAGCUCAGUUGGUGCCUGACUCAGCCAAGCUCAACCCUGAAGGUCUUGUGACCGAAAGUAUUCUGCAGCCCUUCUGUUUUUUUCCAUUUAAGGAGCUGAAGGACAGAAUGAGUGAUAAGACAUUUAACUUUGGAUGCACUGUGGGUCAUUACGUAAAAGGAUUUUCAGCUGUUGUUUUAUUAACAUUUAGAAUUAAACAUGUUGAUUUCAUUCAGUAGUUUGGGGAGUUUUGGUUUAAUGACCACACUUGAGAGUUAGAGAAGUCUAUGAACGGUGUUUUUUCACUGACAAAAGCCAAAACAGAGACAAAACAUAAAGAACAAUUAGUGGAUAAAAUCAGAGGUGCUGUGUUUUAAAACUAGAGAAACACAGCUCCUGGACACAACAAACAGUCAAUUUGUCGUGCAUUAAAAUACAUGGGAUAUUUAACAAAAUGUCUUCCCCAUCAGGUGUGAUUUUAGAUUUUGAAAGCGUCGACAGAUUCUGCAGAGUUUUGGUGCUAAAGCCAGAAAAACUCUGUCACCAUAAGUCCUGUUGAGUGUCUGUGAAACAGAUAAUAAAUGCAACAAGGGGUGAGUUUCCUUGAAAGAACGUAUGACUCCAGACUGUAAUCCUGGACCUGGUUCUGCAGGGACCUGUGAAUGAGUGAUGAAGAAACUCUGAUGUUUGUGUUCAUCAAACGUUCCUUUCACCUGACCUGAAAGAAUAUCUUAAAUCAUAGUUUCACAACAGACUUCCUGUAAAUACAUGAGAAGUAAGAAUAAUAAGAGCAGUUUACAGAAUAUUCAGACAUUAAAAAUAUCAUCUCAGUGACAGUGUGGACAUGUAUCAUGACACUGGACAUAUUUAGACUGUUAGUACAGCUAAAUAUCUGUUUUUAUAGUGAGAUGUCUAGUUCUUUUGAUCUUUAGCAAGUCUUUUUUGUCAAGUGAGUCAGUAUAGCUGAUUGUUUUGUGAAAAAGUAGAUAAAUUUAACCAGUUAUUAUAUUUUGAGUAAAAUUUUAAAGUAAUUUUUUGUAUUAAGUCAAUAAAAUGACAAAAACUCAAGUAUUUUAGCACUGAAGUUGUGUUUUUAGUUAAGUACUGGCUGUAAAUAUUGACUCUAGCUCCUGAAAGUCACAUGUGCAACAAACUAUGAAUAAGUAAGAGUAAAAACUUUAGUUGAACUAAUGUUGACCUCUCUGGCCCACUUGAUCUACUGUUUGGCUGUUACAAUAAACAACUCGGUGAAAUUAAACCCCCCAUCAAAAGCGAGUUAUUUCAAGAAGGAAAGUGUAACUACAGGAAAGCGUCUCCGUCGUGAAAAACGUGUUUCUCUUCUCCUCUUUAAAGCAAAAGUCAUGCAGGAACUCAUGUAGUAUAAAGCCUAACAAAAAUGACACCAGUGUAGCUUUGUGUCCACACCUCACUUACUUUUGUUUGACAGGCACAUGAGAAUUUAGCUUGUAUGAAAUGAACAGAGUUAAACAGAAAUAAACAAAUAUGAUGAUUCAGUUUUCCUGUCAGUAUCAUGUUUAAUAAUUGAUUAAACAAGUGGUCGAGAAGUGUUGCAUGAAAUAUGGUUAAUAAUUUGUUCACCUGAAUAAAAAGUGUGGUGUGAUCUCAUUGUUGGUUUGACCAGGCUCGGCUGUGUAUUGUUUUAUAACCGGGUAAUCUCCCUCUGUCUUGUUUGUGAAUCCCCUAACUUCCCCUGGGGUGUGUUGCAGUUGCACCAUUUACAGCAGCUCGGGUUUGUCGGGUUUGAUCUGAGCGGUUAAUUUCUGAGUUUCCUCAAUUCAUCAUAGUGAUAAAAAAAACAAUCAAACAGUCGUUCAGGAAAGUCCCUGUUAAUGCCUCUAAAAAGCUGAUCUGGAGUCUGUUUUAGACUUUGGAUUGCAAAACUGGGUGAGCCAAAACUGAUCCCCUGUCAGCUGAAUAAAACACCAUGACAACCCUAAUCUAUGAUCAAGUCUUUGAGCAAUACAACAGCGCUGUAGUGGUUGUGUUUGGCAUCUUUACUGGUAACCAUGUGAUUUCCUGUAAACCAAGAGCCUGGCAGGUUGGGAUGCAUGCUGCAGGGGGAGAAAUCAUUACCUUUGAGUGCCAUCUUGUGGAUUAAACCAAAAAGGGCACACAAACUAGCAAUGUUGGUGGAGGAGCUAUAAGCAGAGUUUUAUGAGGCAGUUAUUUCAGCUUCUUAAACAGUGAAAAUCUGCUGUCAGAACUCUUUAUCAAGGGUGAUAGGAAACUUUAAUAUUCUACUUAAGACAAUUACAGUUACUUAAAUGUUAUCUUUAUACAGUAGAAUCAGAAGUGACAGUAUUUUAAUCUAAGUAGAAAUAUAAGUUUGUUUUUAUUUGAAAUGCACUUAAGAUGUGAGAACUAAGGAGUACUUUCAGCCCAUAGCAGUAGGAGUAGAGGGAGUAAGAUAUGACUCACUAUUAUAUUAAGGCAUAUUUUACUGAGCUCUUUUUAAAUACAACAAACACCUAUUAAAGUGUGGGGUAAUUAUGACUAUCCAGGGGGGAGUUUUUGCAACAUUUUGUCAGUAUUUGAAUCAAAAUUUGGUUUCUGCAUAUUAAAGUCAUGAUUGGUUGUGCGGACAAGAGUGGAAAAUGUGAACUUUGUUGGUUGAAAUGAGUAAAUGUUGCUGCAAAUGAGGCAAGCAAAAUUCAAGGAUGAGUAAAAUUAAGCUUUAAAUAUAUUAGGGUGAGAAAAUGAAGCUAAUUUUAGCCUUUCAGGUCAGUGUGGCCUGAUACAUUUUGACAAGAAAGACUGCAGACAUCAUCCAUUCAGAUGGCUGUUUAUCAGUAGGCUAACUAAUGCUAAUGUAAAGUGUAGUUUGUUGAUCAAUAUGAUUUACUAAUCUGCACAUGCUGUUAUUGUUGAAAGGAACAUUUAUAGUUUAAAUAAUGUCGUCAACUUUUCUUGGGCCAGGUGUGUUUUGCAGUGACACCAUUAACUUUACUCAGAGUUAAGGUCGAGAGCAUUAUCAACAACAUGUCAGACAUUAUCUCUGUCACCAGGAAACCAUGUGACAUCCUGUAAACGCCAUCUUACUCCUCAGUCUGGUGAUCUGGCAACUGCCCGCCAAAACGCCUUUACAGAAAAAACAAUGAUGGAGCUUGAGCGCCCCCUAGUGGACACACAGAACUGAAUAAAACAUGAGGAAAAGUGGAGAAACAAAACUUAACUGGGACAUUGACGAUGUCAUCAGGGGAAAACCAGGGACUUAAGAGAGUAAAAUGCAACACCCUCUGUCUGGUGCUGCUUUUAUUCUGUGCAUGUGUAUAAAUGAGACCACCAUUAAGCUCUCUGCUGAGUUAUAGCUCAUUUUUAAUUCACAGUUUAUAGUGAGGUUUGUUUAUAUAUAUUAUAAGACUCUCAGUCUGUCUUAUGUUAUGUUAUUUAACAUUAGCGCAGAGAAACUGAUGGGGUGUGCAAACCAAGAAACUACAGCCUCAUUCGUGGUUUUUACUGGGAUCCACAAGAGAGUGUGAAGUGCAACAGUCGUGAAGCCACAGCACCACAACUUCCACAAAAUAGGCUGAUGAGCCACAGCACACGUGUACUCUCUGUCAACAAUACAGACAUGCAGAAUUGGUCUGAGGUUUCCUGUGUGUCUGUGUCUGCAGCUCUGUGCUUUUUUUUGCUGUUGUCUAGGUCAGGUCUACCACUCAAUAGAUUUUUAUUUAAUCUCAAUAAGUCUAAUGUGGUUAAAGGUUAAAUAAAAAAUAAACCAUCAAACCCUGACUAUUGCACGUACUCAGCCUUGAUUCAUGCAGUGUCAUGUAAACCACUGCUUUCAUGAUACUUUUAAAAUCUUUCUAAUGUUAUUUUGUGUUAAACAGAAUAUUGUCAAUUAUUCAGACAGGUUUCAGGUUGAAAGUUUUCAUAAAAAUUCAUAAACUUGGUGCAUUUUUGUCAUGAAUUAAAAAGAGUGAUUUAAGUUAAAAACUUAGUGUUAUAAAAGGAAAAUAACUAGGGAGGGAUCUGAAGUAAUCACAGAGAUUUAAAAAAGAGACUCCUGGUCUAUUCAGAAUCUUUUGGAGGAUUCACUUGAAGGCACAAGACUGUUUUUCAUGUUUUUAUGUUAUUAAGAGACAUGUUAACAAAAGAUAAGUAAAAUAUGUUGAGUUUUUAAAUGCACUUCUUUAGUUUUGUUUGAAAAACAGUGUUUGUAAAAACCAUGUCCUUCUCUGGUUUCUGUUCUUGAGGUCAGAUCUUAACUUUCCUCUAAAUAGUUAGUCAUUUAAAUUUAAAAACUUGGUGAAAAUGAUUACCCUCGCAUUUUAUAUAGUUCAAGUCCAUCCAGCAGCAGAAUAAGUAGCCACAUGUUAUUUGUCACCUAACUAGUUUGUAACCUUUUGAAUUAUUCCCUUUGGAAAAGCACAAAUUGAAGAAUCAGAAACCUGUAACUAAUAAUGCUUCACACUCAGAACAAUAAUGCAGAAUAGAUGUGAAUUCUUCAUCGUUUAGAUAAAAUGCAUAUAAUACUUUCAUCUCUGAACAGUCAUACUGACAGACACUAGAUGGCGACAUAGCACAACUGAUGUCAACGAACAGCGAGGUUAAAACCUGGAAAGGCCAACAGAUGGAGCCUUCAACCUUUUUAAUGAAGUGUAGUUUUUAUGUCCAUACGUUAACUUAAUUAGUAUUCAGUUCCCACAAUCUAUAUCUGUAUUCUGUACAGAUGUUCUUUUGUCAAGCUUUUUUUUAAUUGGGCGUUAAUCCCCAAUCACAAGAUCUUUAAGUAAGAGUAAUCUUAAUUCCUGGACGAGGUUCCAGAUAAUCUGCUUUCUCAGAAGCAGUAUUUGACACUAUCUGCUAAUUCCCAAUCCAAUCAACGGCAGGGAUGAUGCACCUGGCUUAUCUUUGGUCUGAAUGGCAUCCAUUCUGAAAAAAAAAGGCAGCUGUGUCUUUUAUGAGGAGUUUCUUGGCUUCUGCUUCUACAGACAUGGACUUUCGUAAAUAUAUUCCUUUCUAUUUUUACAAAGCUUGCAAAACCCCAAAGACAUAACGAUACAUGAUGAUACAAAAAGUGAUGUGCACAAUAGCUGAGAGCGAAAUUGUUCAAGCUUGAGUCAGAGUGAAAUUUCACUAAAGCCUUACUUUAGUGAUGUCCAUAAUGAAAGAAGCGUAGAGAUAAAGUCUUUGUCUUUGAAUCAUUGAGCUUAAAGAAACUACUGAAUUUUCAUGUCCUUACUUUGACUUUGUAGGAACAAUCCUUUCACUUCAGUAUCAUAUUGUCUUUUCUCUUGUAACUGCAUGAAUAAAAGAAAAACAGUCUGGACAUGAGAGACAUGUAACCAGAUACCUCUUAAGGCUGUUUUACUCAUUGUCCGGUUAAUGAGGUAAACAGGCUGUGAGAGGCGACACAACAGGAUAGCAGACCAGACUUUCACACCUGAGAAAGAUUAUUAGUGCACUGUGUACACACACGCACACAGAUUCCUCGGAUCGCAUUUUGGUUUCUUUCCUUUUCUUAUUUUCUACUCAUGUUCUGUCUACACUGCUGUUGAGGUUUCUGUUUCCAUUUCAUAAAGUACACUUCAUAUGCAGCACGGUGACUAAAUGCAACACAGCUUCACUCUUUUGAGGGAACAACAAAGGCUCAGAGACAUAUGCUGCCAAAGAGAUUACACAUAUAGGAUUAAAUGGAUGUUAAUCUCACCUCCCUUUUAAAAAUUAUCUUUAGUAAUUUUAUUUCUGCUAACAUGAAGAAUUUCCUGACUCACAGCUGGUUGCACAGUUGCUGUCCCAGUGCAAUCAAAUCAGAGACAAACAUUUACUUGAAUACCUUUCGAUAUUCUUUCCUCCAAUCUAUUGAGUUUCAGAUGGAAACCAUGCAUUUCUCCGUAUCUGGUUCUUUUUAAUGGGAGUAUCAUGAACUGUUCCUGCUCUGGUUCACGCAUUUACAUCUUAUUUUGCGUGACUCCCUAAUUAAGCUGCUGUGGUUUUAUGCUCACCCUCCAGGAAACAUGAGAUUUUGUUUUUAGUACAGAAAAACAGUAUCUGCUUAAUUAAAUUAAAACACAUUAUAUUAUCUCAUAAGACAUACUGUCUCUGUUCGAGAUGUCAUCUUCAAGAAACAACACUAACAACAAACAAGAAUAUUUCAUUUCCAGUAUAACUUUCUGUAAACUUCUGUUAAAGGGACUGCUGUUGCUAGGGAAGGUUUGCUGUAGUGAGAGGAACUAAGAGGACUGAGGCAGAGCGCUACCAAAUUUUGUCAUGGCAAAUUAACAACCAACAUCUGUGUUUUCUUACCCUUAACAUAUGCAAACAACACUGCUGUCUCAGAAAACUAGACUGUAGCUACCCGUGACGAAGUACUGAGGCAUUGUGAAGCAGGAGAGCUGAGAGAGAGAGAGAGAGAGAGAGAGAGAGAGAGAGAGAGAGAGAGAGAGAGAGAGAGAGAGAGAGAGAGCAGAUGAGUCAGAGGAGGCUGAUUCUGAUGUAAUCCACCAGUCCCUCCCUCCUGAUUC